AUUCUCACUUUGGCAGCACAUAUACUAAAUUUAGAAUGGCACAGAGAUGAUUGGCAUGGUCUCUGGGCACAGAUGACAUGCAAUUCCAGGAUGCUGUUGUACGAGUAACCAAAUUUGU
rnacentral:snRNA from 1 species